rnacentral:rRNA from 1 species
GAUGAACGCUGGCGGCGUGCCUAAUACAUGCAAGUCGAGCGAACGGACGAGAAGCUUGCUUCUCUGAUGUUAGCGGCGGACGGGUGAGUAACACGUGGAUAACCUACCUAUAAGACUGGGAUAACUUCGGGAAACCGGAGCUAAUACCGGAUAAUAUUUUGAACCGCAUGGUUCAAAAGUGAAAGACGGUCUUGCUGUCACUUAUAGAUGGAUCCGCGCUGCAUUAGCUAGUUGGUAAGGUAACGGCUUACCAAGGCAACGAUGCAUAGCCGACCUGAGAGGGUGAUCGGCCACACUGGAACUGAGACACGGUCCAGACUCCUACGGGAGGCAGCAGUAGGGAAUCUUCCGCAAUGGGCGAAAGACUGACGGAGCAACGACGCGUGAGUGAUGAAGGUCUUCGGAUAGUAAAACUCUGUUAUUAGGGAAGAACAUAUGUGUAAGUAACUGUGCAAAUCUUGACGGUACCUAAUCAGAAAGCCACGGCUAACUACGUG